rnacentral:rRNA from 1 species
AGCUCCAAUAGCGUAUAUUAAAGUUGUUGCAGUUAAAAAGCUCGUAGUUGGAUUUGUGGCGUACGGUGUGUUCCGGGCACUUGUUGUCUGAGUAACCUGCUGUUGCCAUCCUUGGGUGGAACCUGUGUGGCAUUAGGUUGUCGUGCAGGGGAUGCCCAUCAUUUACUGUGAAAAAAUUAGAGUGUUCAAAGCAGGCUUAUGCCGUUGAAUAUAUUAGCAUGGAAUAAUGAGAUAGGACUUUUUUGCUAUUUUGUUGGUUUGCGCAAGAAGGUAAUGAUUAAUAGGGACAGUUGGGGGUAUUCGUAUUCCAUUGUCAGAGGUGAAAUUCUUGGAUUUUUGGAAGACGAACUACUGCGAAAGCAUUUACCAAGGAUGUUUUCAUUAAUCAAGAACGAAAGUA